ACGUUUGUGUGUGUGUCCCUGUGUACAUGCCACAGGCCUGUGUAGAAGUCCGGAGAGAACUCGUGAAAGUCUGUUCUCUCCUUCUAUCAUGUGAGUACUAGGCUCAGGUCACCAGACUUCGUGGCAAGCACGCUUACCCACUGAGGCAUGUCACCAGGCCCUUUAUGGCUUGUGGGGACAGCUCAGAGGGGUUGGCCUUGAAUUCAUGACCCUCCUUCUCCCACUACCUGAGCGCUAGGAUUUCAGGUAUGCACCCUCAAAACCCUCCAAUAUAACCUCUAAAAGCAGUGGUUCCCAAACUCCCUAAUGCUGCAACCUUUUAACACAGUGCCUCAUGUUGUGGUAACCCCAUAAGAUUAUUUUCUUGCUACUUUGUAACUGUAAAUUUGCUAAUGUUAUGAAUUGUAAUGUAAAUAUUUAAUAUGCAGAAUCUCUGAUAUUUGACCUCUGGGAAAGAGUCAUUUUACACCCUCCCAGGGGUCAACACACACACACACAGAGGAAUUUGGCAAUUGUACUUCUGGUACCCAGCUGAGAGGUGAACCACAUCCCAAGCACAGGUGACUGUUUCCCAGAAGACCGGAGAGCAUACUGAACUUUCUAGAACUUUCUAAUGGAAGGAGAGGAAGCCUGCCCCCUUUGGAUGCCUGACUAGAUUACUAUCUCCCAGGGCGAAUGUUGUAGGAUGCCAGUUCUUCUGGGAGUAGCAGAUGUGUUCCCACCAUGACACUAACAUAUACGUACGUGAGUACAUUGGCUUAUAUUAGAAAGCCUUGUGCUGCAGAUGCUCAGUAUAUGAAUGGCCAAGGGCAGAACCUCCGAAGGA
rnacentral:lncRNA from 1 species